rnacentral:rRNA from 1 species
AUUGAACGCUGGCGGCAGGCCUAACACAUGCAAGUCGAACGAGUGGCGGACGGGUGAGCAAUGUCUGGGAAACUGCGUGAUGGAGGGGGAUAACUAAUGGAAACGGUAGCUAAUACCGCAUACCAACGGAUGUGCCCAGAUGGGAUUAGCUAGUAGGAGGGGUAACGGCUCACCUAGGCGACGAUCCAUAGCUGGUCUGAGAGGAUGACCAGCCAUACUGGAACUGAGACACGGUCCAGAAUCCUACGGGAGGCAGCAGUGGGGAAUAUUUCACAAUGGGCGCAAGCCUGAUGCAGCCAUGCCGCGUGUAUGAAGAAGGCCUUCGGGUUGUAAAGUACUUUCAUCGAGGAGGCGUUACUCGCCGAAGAAGCACCGGCUAACUCCGUGCCAGCCGCCGCGGUAAUUC